GGAGCUCAGACCUGAGCCCCUGUGUGUGUGCUGACGCCCAGACCUGGAGGAACGGCGUUCCCAGCAGAGGGAACAGCAAGGAUAAAGCCCGAGAAGCAGCCGACACAGACGCUUUAAAGGCACGUCGAGGCAGUUCCGGUCCGCACUGCGGACCGUUGGGGAAUAAGAGGAUGGACAGCCACCCUGCUGCGCAGGAACAGCCAUGCGUGGGCUCUGUCCUCACGAGAAGCUCGAGCACAUCUUGCACACUUCUGCCACACGCCUACUGUGACACACGAAUGAUGACGAGUCGUGCCUCCGUAAUGCCGCAGAAUUUGUCACCAUUCCUCUUCGUUGCGUAUGAGUCGCUACGCCGAUAUAAGAUGAAAAGAUGUCUAUCCCAUCAUGUGUUAAUAGCGUCCUUAGUGAAAAUCAGUUUGUUGGCCAAAAGCACAUUAUGGCUUUUUCUUGGAGUCCAGUUUUUUGAAGUCUUCUUUGUUAACAGCUGGACCUUUUAAUUUUCCCAGGAAUAGGAGUCUUGAUAAAUCUCCUUUCAUCGGGAGGGCACAUGCUGUACCACUGGUCACAGAACACUGCCUGCAGAUGGGAUUGUUUUUAAAACAAAUCAACAAAACCGUCACAACAUCUUAGAGAUCUGAGGAAUUCUCCAGUAGCUUCUGUCGCUCUCAUUGUCGUUUUCUCUUGUCUCCCAAGAAAAUCCAGUUCAGACCCAAAAAGGAAAAGAGUUCCCUGGUGGCACAGUGGAUUAAGGAGCUGGUGUUGUCAUGGCAGCCGCUCAGGUCACUGCUGCUCACAGGUUCUGUCCCUGGCCCUGGAACUCCCACUUGCCAUGGGCACAGCCAGAAAAAUAUAAAGCAAGCAAGCCAGGAAAAGAAGCAGAGGGAGGACGGGAAGAUGGCGCAUUGGGGCAGGCGCAGUCCCAGGCCCUCGCUCCAUUUUCCCGUCCUUUUGGGCCAGUGGUGUGGAUGUGAUUCUGGGGGUGGUUUUGACAGUGACUGGAAGAACCCGUCCCCUGUCCCGGCUCCCCCCACCCAUGGCUCCUUUGAGUCACCUACGGGGAUGUGGGUGCCACUUUGAGGUUCCAGCAGCCUCCAGGCCAAUGAGGCCGAUGACUUUCGUCUCCCGGGUUUACGUGGAAGGGGAAACCCACACCUGGAAGAAACCAGAGGUGGAAAGUUUAACUCCUUGCGGCCCAAGUGUGGGAAGAGUUAGCGGCGAGGAAAUGAGUAGCGAUGAGCCCUGUCCACGGGAGGCGUCCAGGCCCAGACAGGCGGGCCAGCCUCUCACGGGGGUUCUAAAUGGGAGGGGCCAGGUAAGAGCUCAGGUCGGGGCCCUAAGGCCUCUCCAGGUGGGCAGCAGGUAAGCCCCCAUCACUCGGGACAAGGCUUGAUAUUAGGUUCCAGGCGCCAAAGGGACUGAGCCGACACGGCGCUGGAUGAAAAGAAAGGGAGGGCGAGGCCGUGCAGGGUGGACGCAGAUCAGCCAUAAACGUACAACAAGUCUCCCAUUUCAUGGGCGGAUCAGCCGCUGACGUGCCCCUUGUUUUGGACAAAAAAAGACCCAGGAACUGGCGAGGAUUAAAUACCAGCAGGCAGCACAAGCCUGCUUUGCAGUGUGGGGAAGGCGGAUGCAGCUGAAUAGGGGAAUUACCUCACAGGACGAGGAGGUGGAAAACUCGGGCCGUGGGCUUGCUCACCAGCGGCGAGGUGUCCUCCCCGUCGAGGCGACCGCCAAAGGCCAGACCACCGCAGUGUUCUGUGGCCUCCCACGCGGUCUGCUGCGCUCAAGGACCUUCCGUCUCCGUUAAGGCGUUGUUCUUCCCGUGAUGUUUCAGCCUGGCGCUAACAUCCGCGUUUCUGAAAACGAAGCCAUGUUUCACUGCAGGAGGCUUCUUUUUCCCCUCAAAAUAAAUUUCCCCCGUUGCUCUGAAAAUUUUUGGAUUUUCAUCUUCCUUUAUGAGCCGGUCCUAUUUCUUUGCCUGGUGUCUUUCCAUCACAUUUCCCACUUCAGAUCUUUGCUGGAGUGUUUCUUCAACUUAAUGUGAAAUGGCCCAUCAAUUUUAAUGUAAUUCCUCAGCUUAUCUUUUGAGAUGAAACUUGGAUACGGUGAAUCUCACGGAUUGUGAUGACGUGAUAAACAAGUACACCGGUGUAAUCAGCUCUCUGGGCAACGUGAGAACCUGUCAGUCACCCCCCCCCAAA
ensembl:lncRNA